AUUGAACGCUGGCGGCAGGCCUAACACAUGCAAGUCGAGCGGAUGCACGGAGCUUGCUCCUGGUUUCAGCGGCGGACGGGUGAGUAAUGCAUAGGAAUCUGCCUGGCAGUGGUGUAUAACGUCUGGCAACGGGCGCUAAUCCCGCAUACGUCCUGCGGGAGAAGGUGGGGGACCUUCGGACCUCACGCUAUCCGAUGAGCCUAGGUCGGAUUAGCUAGUUGGUGGGGUAAAGGCCUACCAAGGCGACGAUCCGUAGCUGGUCUGAGAGGAUGAUCAGUCACACUGGAACUGAGACACGGUCCAGACUCCUACGGGAGGCAGCAGUGGGGAAUAUUGGACAAUGGGCGCAAGCCUGAUCCAGCCAUGCCGCGUGUGUGAAGAAGGUCUUCGGAUUGUAAAGCACUUUUGGUUGGGAAGAAAAGCAGUAGGUUAAUACCUUGCUGUUUUGACGGUACCAAAAGAAUAAGCACCGGCUAACUUCGUG
rnacentral:rRNA from 1 species